rnacentral:rRNA from 1 species
CCUACGGGAGGCAGCAGUGGGGAAUAUUGCGCAAUGGGCGAAAGCCUGACGCAGCGACGCCGCGUGAGGGAUGAAGGUCUUCGGAUCGUAAACCUCUGUCAGCAGGGAAGAACGGUCACUUUGCUAAUCAGCAGUGAAUUGACGGUACCUGCAAAGGAAGCACCGGCUAACUCCGUGCCAGCAGCCGCGGUAAUACGGAGGGUGCGAGCGUUAAUCGGAAUUACUGGGCGUAAAGCGCUCGUAGGCGGGAUGUCAAGUCAAGGGGGAAAUCCCCGCGCUCAACGUGGGAACUGCCUUUGAAACUGGCAAACUGGAGUGUGUGAGAGGAUAGUGGAAUGCCAGGUGUAGGAGUGAAAUCCGUAGAUAUCUGGAGGAACAUCAGUGGCGAAGGCGACUAUCUGGCACAUAACUGACGCUGAGGAGCGAAAGCGUGGGUAGCAAACAGGAUUAGAUACCCCAGUAGUC